CCCCCUUUUUAUUUUUUUCGGAUCCCAUUGUACUUAACUGAAUUUUAUAACGCUGAUCGAUAUCUUGGUAAAAUAUUCAUUUUUAAACUAGCGGGCAGUGAAAUCUUUGCUUUGUGUGCUAAAGUCAACAGUCGCACAGUUCGGGCUCCAAUAAAUGCGGCGAUGCUGCGGCUUGGAGCAGUCAGGGCGUCUCCCAACGCAAGACAGUCCUCGCCGGGCAGUUGGCUGCGGAGGGCCCCGCACCAGGUUAGUGAGGCCCUAGAGAUUAAAGUUCGGCCAUUUUCUGAAGCCCCCCGGGAAGGUUUCAGGCCACACCAGGACCUUCUUUUCCCCGAAUCCUCUUCCAACUAAAGGAACAUCAAAGCAUCAGUUGGAUAAAAGCACUGGCCCUGUAUUCAGGAGGACCUGAGUUCAAAUCCAGCCUCAAACACUUGACACAUAUGAGCUGUGCUACCCUGGGCAAGUCACUUAACCCUCACUGCCCCAUUAAAAAAAAAAAAAGGCAUCAGGUUCCAAAGGAGAAAACCCCAAUUUCUUCCAAGCAAAUGAAGUAGAUCUGACAAGCUCAUCUAAGCCCUGUACUUUUAUCUGGAGAAAGUCAAAAAGCAUUGUUGGAAAUCUGAAGGGAGACAAGGUGUCAUUGUGAGGACUAGUGAUAGAAUCCCGUUCUAUGGGAUUCAAGAGACCAUGACUCCUGGCUUCUGAGAAGACUCAGAUGAUGUGAUAGGCAGGGUUAUUUCUCUUCACAUUUUUGGACUCCUUUCUAGAAUGACUCCUUGUUUGUUCUCGUGAUUAACGUAUUUCUGUAUUAAGAACCUCAUCUUUAUUUCCUGGUGAACUUAGCCUUAUUUCUGGGGCUGCCUAAGAAAGAGCUCCCUGGCCUUCAUAAAGCUCUGUCCCUGCUUCUCGGAAGACAUUUGAUGGUAUUGGGAAGGGGAAGAGAAAAAUACAAAUCCAUACUAAUAAAAUAGCCUCAGAGUGAUUUGUGCAAAAAAAGUGCUGGACCACAAAAAGAUGGAGAAGAAGAGAGAAUGGUGUCUACCUUUCCUUUUAGAGGAGCAAUCACAUUUUAACUUCAUUUGGUUGAGUUAUGAAUCCAUUGGUCAGGAGCAACCUAUUCACAAGUUGGAGAACUGUGGCAGCAGAACAAGGUUUCCUGUGAUUUUUAUAUUCCACCUUGGGCAAGAUGGGGUGUAAGUUUUUAUUCCAGGACAAUGUUUUGUAUGAUGAGAGAAAAGAUUGGAACAUCGUGUGAGUGGGUGUGUGGAAUGAGUGUGCCUGUGUGAGUCUAUCUGCUGAUGUUUUAGCAAUUUAAAAGUGUUGACUGUUAAAUGCAAAGAAAGGCAGCAGCAAAUUAAAA